GGAUCCAGACUUUGAUUCUGGCUCAGGAUGAACGCUAGCUACAGGCUUAACACAUGCAAGUCGAGGGGCAGCGGGAUUGAAGCUUGCUUCAAUUGCCGGCGACCGGCGCACGGGUGAGUAACGCGUAUCCAACCUUCCGUACACUCAGGGAUAGCCUUUCGAAAGAAAGAUUAAUACCUGAUGGUAUGAUGAGAUUGCAUGAUAGCAUCAUUAAAGAUUUAUCGGUGUACGAUGGGGAUGCGUUCCAUUAGGUAGUAGGCGGGGUAACGGCCCACCUAGCCGACGAUGGAUAGGGGUUCUGAGAGGAAGGUCCCCCACAUUGGAACUGAGACACGGUCCAAACUCCUACGGGAGGCAGCAGUGAGGAAUAUUGGUCAAUGGACGAGAGUCUGAACCAGCCAAGUAGCGUGAAGGAUGAAGGUCCUACGGGUUGUAAACUUCUUUUAUAAGGGAAUAAACCCUUCCACGUGUGGGAGCUUGUAUGUACCUUAUGAAUAAGCAUCGGCUAACUCCGUGCCAGCAGCCGCGGUAAUACGGAGGAUGCGAGCGUUAUCCGGAUUUAUUGGGUUUAAAGGGAGCGCAGACGGGUCGUUAAGUCAGCUGUGAAAGUUAGGGGCUCAACCUUAAAAUUGCAGUUGAUACUGGCGUCCUUGAGUGCGGUUGAGGUGUGCGGAAUUCGUGGUGUAGCGGUGAAAUGCUUAGAUAUCACGAAGAACUCCGAUUGCGAAGGCAGCACACUAAGCCGUAACCGACGUUCAUGCUCGAAAGUGUGGGUAUCAAACAGGAUUAGAUACCCUGGUAGUCCACACGGUAAACGAUGGAUACUCGCUGUUGGCGAUAUACUGUCAGCGGCUUAGCGAAAGCGUUAAGUAUCCCACCUGGGGAGUACGCCGGCAACGGUGCAACUCAAAGGAAUUGACGG
rnacentral:rRNA from 2 species